GUCGAGAAUCUUUCACAAUGGGGGCAACCCUGAUGGAGCGACGCCGCGUGGAGGAUAAGGUCUUCGGAUUGUAAACUCCUGUCAUGCGUGAACAAGGUUGCUUGGUUAAUACCUGGGCAAAUUGAUGGUAACGCAAGAGGAAGAGACGGCUAACUCUGUGCCAGCAGCCGCGGUAAUACAGAGGUCUCAAGCGUUGUUCGGAAUCACUGGGCGUAAAGGGUGCGUAGGUGGCGUGGUAAGUCAGAUGUGAAAGCCCGGGGCUCAACCUCGGAACAGCAUCCGAUACUGCCAUGCUAGAGUACUGGAGAGGUGACUAGAAUUCUCGGUGUAGCAGUGAAAUGCGUAGAUAUCGAGAGGAAUACCAAAGGCGUAGGCAGGUCACUGGACAGUUACUGACACUGAGGCACGAAGGCCAGGGGAGCGAACGGGAUUAGAUACCCGGGUAGUCC
rnacentral:rRNA from 1 species